rnacentral:rRNA from 1 species
AUUGAACGCUGGCGGCAUGCCUUACACAUGCAAGUCGAACGACGUUACGGGGGCAACUCCGUAGCGAGUGGCGAACGGGUGAGUAAUGCAUCGGAACGUGCCCUCUUGUGGGGGAUAACCAGUCGAAAGAUUGGCUAAAUACCGCAUGAGCUCGAGAGAGGAAAGCGGGGGAUCCGCAAGGACCUCGCGCGAGAGGAGCGGCCGAUGCCCGAUUAGCUAGUGGUGGGGAAUAGCCACCAAGCGACGAUCGUAGCUGGUCUGAGAGGACGACCA